GAAUUCAACUCCUACGGGAGGCAGCAGUGGGGAAUAUUGGACAAUGGGCGAAAGCCUGAUCCAGCCAUGCCGCGUGUGUGAAGAAGGUCUUCGGAUUGUAAAGCACUUUAAGUUGGGAGGAAGGGCAGUAAGUUAAUACCUUGCUGUUUUGACGUUACCGACAGAAUAAGCACCGGCUAACUCUGUGCCAGCAGCCGCGGUAAUACAGAGGGUGCAAGCGUUAAUCGGAAUUACUGGGCGUAAAGCGCGCGUAGGUGGUUUGUUAAGUUGGAUGUGAAAGCCCCGGGCUCAACCUGGGAACUGCAUCCAAAACUGGCAAGCUAGAGUACGGUAGAGGGUGGUGGAAUUUCCUGUGUAGCGGUGAAAUGCGUAGAUAUAGGAAGGAACACCAGUGGCGAAGGCGACCACCUGGACUGAUACUGACACUGAGGUGCGAAAGCGUGGGGAGCAAACAGGAUUAGAUACCCUAGUAGUCCAGGCGUU
rnacentral:rRNA from 1 species